CUCGCUCUUAACGUUCUGUGAUGAGCUGCGCACGCGCUGUGCGAGCGGCGGCGUCGCGCUGGGAGUCCUGCCGCCAACGGUUGUUAUGUGUUCAAUCUUCACAAGUCAUUUCCAAUUUACCUGGUGAGGAAAAAACCAAUGGAGAGGUUAUGUCCACAUGUUUUUUUAAGAGAACGCAAGUGGGGGAGGGGCAGAGAGAGCGGGAGCCUGAUGAUCCCAGGUGCGCCCUGUGCUGUCAGAAUUGAGCCGGAUGUGGGGCUUGAUCUCAUUUACUGUGAGAUCAGGACCUGAGUUGAAAUCAGAAGUUGGACACUUAAACUGACUGAGCCACCCAGGUGCCCCUCAAUCUUGUCCACUGUAAAAUCGUUCCUCUUCUCUUUGUAAUUAAGUGUUUUGUGGGGAAAAACUUAAUCACAUUCCUCAUCAGA